UCCGAACCAUCUGGUUUAAAGUUUGAUCCUGGCUCAGCUGGGGGUAUCAUGGCUCAGACGAACGCUGGCGGCGUGCCUAAUACAUGCAAGUCGAGCGAACAGAGAAGGAGCUUGCUCCUUCGAUGUUAGCGGCGGACGGGUGAGUGACACGUGGGCAACCUACCUUAUAGUUUGGGAUAACUCCGGGAAACCGGGGCUAAUACCGAAUAAUCUAUUUUACUUCAUGGUGAAAUACUGAAAGACGGUUUCGGCUGUCGCUAUAAGAUGGGCCCGCGGCGCAUUAGCUAGUUGGUGAGGUAACGGCUCACCUAGGCGACGAUGCGUAGCCGACCUGAGAGGGUGAUCGGCCACACUGGGACUGAGACACGGCCCAGACUCCUACGGGAGGCAGCAGUAGGGAAUCUUCCACAAUGGGCGAAAGCCUGAUGGAGCAACGCCGCGUGAGUGAAGAAGGUUUUCGGAUCGUGAAAACUCUGUUGUAACGGGACAGAACAAGUACAGUUGGUAACUGGCUGUACUUGACGGUACCUUAUUAGAAAGCACGGCUAACUACGUGCAGCCAGCCGCGGGUAAUACGUACGAGUGGGCCAAGCGUUGUCCCGGCAAUUNUUGGGCCGGUAAAAGCGCGCCGCAUGCGGUCCC
rnacentral:rRNA from 1 species